CUCUCCUUCCCUCUCUUCUUCUUUCUUUCUUUCUCCGACGACCGGCCGGCGACCUCCCAAGCAGCUUCCCACUCGGCCGGCGACCCUCCGGCGACGACCAGACACCAGAAACGGCGGCAAGAGAGGGAGAGGAGAGAGAAAACGCGCGCACAGUGGGCCGCUGCUUUCCGGCGCGAUUCCGGCUUCAUCCGACGUCCGAUCGAGGCGAUUCAGGUGGCGUUAGAAAGCUUGUUCCGAGAGCUUUCUUUUGAUACUAAUUUUGCAGCAAAUGGAGGUCGGAUGAGUGAGAUAUAGAGGAGAGAAGUUUCGGGUUUUUCAAGCUUUUUCGUCAGAUCUACGACGAUCCGACCGUUGGAUCGACGAUCCGAGACCACCUAUGGACUGAGGAAGAGGAGAGGAAUAUGAUGGUAUGAUCAGAUCUGGCAAAUGUCGCCGGCGACCGGCGGCCGACCACCGUGCUCGGUGGUUCUGGCGGUGGCUCCGGUGGGCUAUGGAGGUGAUUCAACUUCCAGAGGCUUCCUCGUAAAUUUUUGGAAUUUUUGAGACACAGAUAAACUUCGGGUGAUCGAGGUCAGCUAUUUUUCUGCAUUCAGCAGCCACAAUAGUCAUCGGUGUACUGCCACAGGAGGAGUUAUUUUAGAGAGCAACCUGUUUUCUUCCUCGCAGGUUUAACGUAGAUUAUUUAAUUAUUUUACUAUCUUUUCAAAAUUUAAAAUCUAGAACUCCGCAUGUGUUAGUAAUAGUGUGGCCCUUGAUAGAAAUUGUGUUAAUUUAAAAUUUUGAAAUUAAUAAAUAAAAAUUUGUAUGGUAUUUAAACAGUUUGUAAAUGAGGUAACAGGGUUGAGCUGGGCUCUCCCGAAUCUUAGUUUCUGAAAAUUUCUGGGUUAAGUUGGCUCAAAAUAUAAUUAGAACAGUUUAAUUUAAAUUAUUUUAUAUGCAUAUUGGGCCUGGUUAUGGAUUUGAGGAAUAGUUAGGCUUACUACGGGCCUC